GACGAACGCUGGCGGCGUGCCUAAUACAUGCAAGUAGAACGCUGAAGAGAGGAGCUUGCUCUUCUUGGAUGAGUUGCGAACGGGUGAGUAACGCGUAGGUAACCUGCCUGGUAGCGGGGGAUAACUAUUGGAAACGAUAGCUAAUACCGCAUAAAAUUGAUUAUUGCAUGAUAAUUAAUUGAAAGAUGCAACUGCAUUCCUACCAGAAGGACCUGCGUUGUAUUAACUAGUUGGUGAGGUAACGGCCCACCAAGGCGACGGAACAUAGCCGGCCUGAGGAGGUGAUCGGCCAAACUGGGACCUGGAACACGCUCAGACCCCUACGGGGAGGAGCAAGAGGGGAACCUCGGGAAAGGGGGGAACGCUGACCGGGGAAAGCCGCGUAAGGGAAGGAGGUUUUCGGAUCGUAAAGCUCUGUUGUAAGGGAAGGACGGGUGUUGGAGUGGAAAGUUCACACUGUGACGGUAUCUUACCAGAAAGCGACGGCUAACUACGUG
rnacentral:rRNA from 1 species